rnacentral:tRNA from 1 species
GGCGAUGUAGCUCAGUCGGUAGAGCGGGGGUCUCAUAAGCCCCGUGUCGGCGGUUCGAGUCCGCCCAUCGCCACCA